UACGGAGGGGGCUAGCGUUGUUCGGAAUUACUGGGCGUAAAGCGCGCGUAGGCGGCUUUGUAAGUUAGAGGUGAAAGCCCGGAGCUCAACUCCGGAAUUGCCUUUAAGACUGCAUAGCUAGAAUCAUGGAGAGGUGAGUGGAAUUCCGAGUGUAGAGGUGAAAUUCGUAGAUAUUUGGAAGAACACCAGUGGCGAAGGCGACUCACUGGACAUGUAUUGACGCUGAGGUGCGAAAUCGUGGGGAGCAAACAGG
rnacentral:rRNA from 1 species